rnacentral:rRNA from 1 species
UACGUAGGGGGCAAGCGUUGUCCGGAAUUAUUGGGCGUAAAGCGCGCGCAGGCGGUUUUUAAGUCUGAUGUUUAAGCCCGGGGCUCAACCCCGGUUCGCAUUGGAAACUGGAAGACUUGAGUGCAGGAGAGGAAAGUGGAAUUCCACGUGUAGCGGUGAAAUGCGUAGAGAUGUGGAGGAACACCAGUGGCGAAGGCGACUUUCUGGACUGUAACUGACGCUGAGGCGCGAAAGCGUGGGGAGCAAACAGG